rnacentral:rRNA from 1 species
UACGUAGGUGGCGAGCGUUAUCCGGAAUGAUUGGGCGUAAAGGGUGCGUAGGCGGCCUGCUAAGUCUGGAGUGAAAGGUACCGGCUCAACCGGUACAGGCUCUGGAAACUGGCGGGCUAGAGAGCAGGAGAGGGCGGUGGAACUCCAUGUGUAGCGGUGAAAUGCGUAGAUAUUAGGAGGAACACCAGUGGCGAAGGCGGCUUACUGGACGGCAACUGACGCUGAGGCUCGAAAGCGUGGGGAGCAAACAGG